UGUCUAGAAUCCAUAGCAAAAACAGAGUUUUCUGAAAUGUAUUAACAAAAAUCAUUCAGUUUCAUAAUUCAAACAUUCAAAUCGGCACAUAAUAUCAGAAAACUCUGCAUCCAUUUUUGAAUCUAACCAUUCCUUAGUUACCUUCUUAUCAGGGGUUUAAGAAAAAAACGAUCUCUAUGUUGCUUUCCUUCUAGAUCGUUAGCAGAUAAUUUCGGGGGGGAAAACUUACACAAGUAGAGGUGUAUGAAAGCGAAUCGUUUCAGUUUUUUCUUAUUGUAGUAUUAAAAAGGUGUAAAGAAUCCUUAGCAAAAACAGAGUUAUGUGAAAUUUAUUUAUUAACAAAGCAUACAUUUCAGGAAUAUUCAAUUAAAGUUCGACGUUUCAACCCUACUGUUGUUUUAUCCCCAGAGCACACCACAGAAAUGUCUCGACCAGUUGACAUAAAAACCAUUCAACCCUGUUCAAAUAAACUGUGUCUUCGUUAAUGUUCCAAUCUCAACAUCAACCGUGCAAGGUUUCUGCAUCUAUGGCUUCGUCAGAAAAUUCAACUCGUAAAUACUCCAGAACUUUUUUGGAACGCGAUAUUCGUUGGUAAUUUUUUCUCUGCUUUAAGUCUCAUAACGAAGCUAUGAUUUCAUAGCCAGAAAAAGAUGAUAGGAGAAAUUUCCGCGAAAAUCCUUUCACUCGGUUCUUCAUUGUACUUCGGCCUGUGAAAUCGUACCGUAGGUUAAAGAACUCGCCUUGUAUACAGUUUGUAUUCAUUCUCGUUCGAGAGAAUGUGGUGCACGUUGUACAUGACCAGAAGGUAACAUUUGCGAGUAGUCGACUUCGUAUCACCAUCAGCAAGUCGACGUUUCAGUACGUGAUGGCGGUUCGAAACGCUCCCUACAAGAAGUACUGAAGUACUUUCUGAAAAAGAGCAUCGGUCAGUGUCUGAAAUGUGUGUGUCGUUUAAUUUUUCCGCGUCAUUCUACGUGAAGAGUUUCCGGCUGAUAUGCGGCUAACAUUUCUUUUGUAACGGGGUCAAACGAAGAUUGUUGGGAGCCCAUGCGAUAAGAGGCAGUACAUACCAACGACUCAAUAAACUAUGAUGCGCGCAAUCAUGCGAAAUUGUAUUUUAACUUCUGUGCAUUUCAAUGCAGCUUUUGGCUUUGCGCCAAUCAAACCCGGAAUGGUCGUCAAGCACAUGGUUUAUUUUAAAUAACGAGUUCAAUGCCUGUGGGGAAAACAUAUCCUUUUUACACACAAAAGUUACUGUUAUCAAUUGGCCAAACAAAGGCCAAAUUUUUUAUCAUUUGAAAAUUUAGUGGUCCUGUAUAAAGUCAACAAUCAGUUUUGUUAUACUUACUUUUCACAAAUAAAAUUUGUGUGGGUGAUUUAUUUGGAAACUGUAGGUACAUGAAGCUACUUUGUAAAUGUUAACUUCUUACAAAAAUCAGUUUAUAAUUACAGUUAUUGGUUAAGCAUACGAUUGAUUGAUUAAUUCAUAUUGUAUUCACAUCUUUUGUAGCUGCAAAAAAAUUGAGUGCCAGUUUGCCGGUGGACCGCCCUGUACAUUGUUAUUAAAAUAUUUAUAUUAUA